AGAGUUUGAUCAUGGCUCAGGACGAACGCUGGCGGCGUGCUUAACACAUGCAAGUCGAGCGAGGCCUCUCCUUCGGGAGGGUGUCCUAGCGGCGAACGGGUGAGUAACACGUGGGCAACCUGCCCUCAGCUCUGGGAUAACUCCAAGAAAUUGGGGCUAAUACCGGAUAUGACCGCUGACCGCAUGGUCUGGUGGUGGAAAGAUUUAUCGGCUGGGGAUGGGCCCGCGGCCUAUCAGCUUGUUGGUGGGGUAGUGGCCUACCAAGGCGACGACGGGUAGCCGGCCUGAGAGGGUGACCGGCCACACUGGGACUGAGACACGGCCCAGACUCCUACGGGAGGCAGCAGUGGGGAAUAUUGCGCAAUGGGCGGAAGCCUGACGCAGCGACGCCGCGUGGGGGAUGACGGCCUUCGGGUUGUAAACCUCUUUCAGCAGGGACGAAGCGCAAGUGACGGUACCUGCAGAAGAAGCACCGGCCAACUACGUGCCAGCAGCCGCGGUAAUACGUAGGGUGCAAGCGUUGUCCGGAAUUAUUGGGCGUAAAGAGCUCGUAGGCGGUUUGUUGCGUCGGCUGUGAAAUCCCGAGGCUCAACCUCGGGUCUGCAGUCGAUACGAGCAAACUAGAGUGUUGCAGGGGAGACUGGAAUUCCUGGUGUAGCGGUGAAAUGCGCAGAUAUCAGGAGGAACACCGGUGGCGAAGGCGGGUCUCUGGGCAACAACUGACGCUG
rnacentral:rRNA from 1 species